rnacentral:rRNA from 1 species
CAGCCGCCGCGGGAAUACGAAGGGGGCUAGCGUUGCUCGGAAUUACUGGGCGUAAAGCGUGCGUAGGCGGUGAGUUAAGUCUGCUGUGAAAGCCCUGGGCUCAACCUGGGAAUUGCAGUGGAUACUGGGUCACUAGAGUGUGGUAGAGGAUAGUGGAAUUUCCGGUGUAGCAGUGAAAUGCGUAGAGAUCGGAAGGAACAUCUGUGGCGAAGGCGACUAUCUGGGCCAACACUGACACUGAGGCACGAAAGCGUGGGGAGCAAACAGGAUUAGAUACCCCCGUAGUCCCUGUCUCUUAUAC